UAUAAUAAUAUUUAUCAAAAUCUGUUAAAAUAGCAAAUAAUUUGGAAAGUCAUGUUGAAAUAUUAAUAAUAGCAGUAUGUGUGUUGGGAGAUACCCCAUUUGAAAAAUGUGUGGAUCUUACUGCUUCGGAAAAACCAAUAACAACAACAUUAGAUAAUUAUAUACGGGAAGUUAAUAUGAAAGUGUCUGUUAUGUAACUAGUAUUGGGCUGCGAGAUUUGCCGUAUCGGUUUGCAGACAUAGCUUCCAAAACAUGCAAUCGACAUCAAGUGGAAUUUAGCUGUCUUCGCAUUGAAAUAUAGCAAGACCGUAGAGUUUUUCGCGGAACAUUACAGCGAAUCUAUUAAAGAAGUUUUGGGCAUUAUAACAGAACCGGAGAUAACGACGAAAAUAAACAUUAUAUACUGUAAAAAGCGUCUAUAAUUAAAGGACUAUAGAUG